GGGUUGAAAUGGUCUGACAUUGUACGGUGCUACUCUGUGUCUGACUGUCCCAGCUGUGGUGUAUGCUGCCACACCUCACCCUCCCUGACAGUAAAGAAUUCACCUAAGGCUCCUGUUAAUGUCCAAGAUGUCUGUUUUCUUUCUUCAAUCAAUGUUUUCAUUGCAAAAACAUCUGAGCUGGCCCACAGGUUUAGCUUCUAACUAGAAGCACUGGAAACAUGACUGUCAGACCUGUCAUAAACUGGAAAUGCUCCUGUCUUUCUGUUGACAUUGGCACUGGAACUGCUGCACUGAAACAAUAAAAACUGAACCCAAAGGAAACAGGAAGUAAAAUCAAGUUUUAGAGCAAAAUGAGAAAAACUUGUUUCUAAGAAACAGAAUUUGUUAUAAAUUGUCCACAGUUGUGAUUUUUUGGGGGGAAGAAAGCCUUAUAUGAAAGCGUUCUCUUAGUGGAAAGCCUUGCCAACCUUGGCAGAGAACAGAAUAUCAAAAUGUCUGACAACCCAAGAAAUGCUGCAGAAAAUGAGGAAACCAGAAGCCAGACAGGAAGCAAUAUACAGAAACUGAAGCACUGCAGGUCUUGUUAGCAUUAGAUAACCAUAUGGCCCUACAGAAACCAUAGAAUAACAGCCAUCCUAAUUAUAGAUAAGUGAUGAAAGGAAGCUUAACAUUAACAUUAACCCCAUUAAAACAGCAGCUGAGGCAAUAUCACCACAGUGGAAAAAUGCAGCAGGAGUUGAAAGGAUGUCCUAGGAAUUAUACCUAAAGACCACAGAAACCUGUGUUUGGUCUUACAAUGGUCCUGCUGGCUUGAUUUGAUUUGAAUGUACACUAGUUUUGUUGCA